CCAAACUCGUAGAUGCUAUUCAUCACUCUAGAAGUCCGACUUCAAAAGCUCAAAUCAGAAAACUUCCUUCAUCCAAGUUGUUCGUCUGCUCGAAUACUAUAACAUAUCCAAAAAUGAUCAUCAUCAGAUCGGUCUAGCAACCUCGAACCGGCUAUGACAUUUCUGUGUUCAUCCAUGGCUGGUUGUUCCUCAGUUUGAGAACUAUGACAUAUCCAAAUAUGAGAGCAAUCCAAUUACUCUAGCUAUGUCUGUGAGGACAAUACUUCCUUCAUGAAGGAUGUUUAGAAUUCUUUUCUCUACAACAUAUCCAAAAAUAGUGGCAGUCCAACAAGAGUAGCUUUCUCGGCAGUGGUACACCUUAAACAAGCUUAUGUUAAUUUUCAAGUGUUGUUUGAGUUGGUUAUUUCUCUUUGGGAGCUUCACCCAGGAUUUCGGACCAAUAUUAAGUCUUCGUAGGUAGUUGUUGUAUGGCGCUAGUAGAAUACUGAGCAUUCGAAAUGCGGUGCUAAUUUGCUGCUAACUCCAGGUUUGUUUUUUUAGAAAUUUUAAAUUUCAGUUACUGACUACCUCUUGGCAUGCGUUUACGCACUGGCCAGUUGAUUUUUUUUUAUUUUUUAUUUU